AUGAAAAUGCACAUAUGGGAAGAUGGGAAAGUUGACGCAUUUGUUUUUGGGGUAGAUACGGGUGGAACCAUAACAGUGCGGGCGUGCAUUGGAUUAUUGCUUAUGGUUUUACCAUUUCAGGAGCAUCAUGAAAUCAAACUGGUAAUUCCAUGGAACAAAUGGCGGGAGUCUUCUCUUAAAGAUGAUUCCAACCCACAGAUAGAGUUGCUUCCCCUGCAUCCAGAGUUGCAUGCAAAAUUCAACUCCACUGCAGCAUAG